rnacentral:rRNA from 1 species
GACGAACGCUGGCGGCGUGCUUAACACAUGCAAGUCGAACGGAAAGGCCCUGCUUUUGUGGGGUGCUCGAGUGGCGAACGGGUGAGUAACACGUGAGUAACCUGCCCUUGACUUUGGGAUAACUUCAGGAAACUGGGGCUAAUACCGGAUAGGAGCUCCUGCUGCAUGGUCGGGGUUGGAAAGUUUCGGCGGUUGGGGAUGGACUCGCGGCUUAUCAGCUUGUUGGUGGGGUAGUGGCUUACCAAGGCUUUGACGGGUAGCCGGCCUGAGAGGGUGACCGGCCACAUUGGGACUGAGAUACGGCCCAGACUCCUACGGGAGGCAGCAGUGGGGAAUAUUGCACAAUGGGCGGAAGCCUGAUGCAGCAACGCCGCGUGCGGGAUGACGGCCUUCGGGUUGUAAACCGCUUUCGCCUGUGACGAAGCGUGAGUGACGGUAAUGGGUAAAGAAGCACCGGCUAACUACGUG